GCCAAAUCCGUGAGCACAGACGCAGGUUGGAGGAAGAAGCAAUAGUGGGAGAGUAUGAAAGAUGUCUUCUUAUUGCUUUCGUUUUCUCAAUGGAAUAGGAAGCAAGACCAUGGGCUGAAAGUGAGAGGAGGGGAAAGGCAUUGGAGCUAUGAGAAGAGACAUCUUCCCCAAGGCUAUUGUGAGCAUGAAAUAAUAUAACGCAAGUUCAAAGCCUGUAACACAGGAGGAAGUACUUAAAAAUGAACAGCAGUGGAGCUGGCUCUCGGUGGUUAAGCUGCCCUGCCUUUCCCACCUUCCCUAUGUUGUGGCGCGCCUUUGUGUCUACGUUCUCCCCACAGGCUUGUGAGCAGAAGUCAUCCAUGCCCCCAUCAGGCCAGCGCAUAUAUCUUCUCCACUUGCUCCUCCACACUCUUCUCCUGCUUCCUACUGGUGAGAAUGGUGACCAGCAGAGCCACUCAGAAAGCCACAUGCUGAAGACAGAAGAGCUGCCAUCAGCCUGGGUCCCUGGCUAAUGGUGGGAGGAUGGACUCCGGCCAGAGUAAGGCCUCUCCAUACUUUCAUGCAAGAGAAACGUCAACCUGUAUACCAGUCAAGCCUCUGAGCUGUUACUUACUAAACAUACUUUCUUUUAAUGCACGGGGUUAACUGGUUUAACAUAUCCAAAGAAUAGUGGCCAAUGCUUCAACAUCAGCCUGGAAGGGGAACACGAGCAGCAUGGCGCAGGGCUCUGUUUUGAUGCUGACACACGUCAUAUAAGCAAUAGCUCAGGCAAGGCUGUGGAAGAUGUACUUCUCAGAUUUAAAAAUGACACUAUGCCGUGAGGGAUAGCUGGUCAAAUUUUAAAAGAUUUCAACAAGUUAAAAAUAACAAGUGAUAUUUCCUAAGCAUUGAAUGUAAGCCAGGCUCUGGGUUAAAUGCUUUCCAAACAUGAUCUUGUUUAAUACUUAUGAUGAUCCUACAAUGUAGAAAUGUUACCUCCCUUUCCGAGAUGGGAAAACAGAAAUGUCAAGAGAUUAAGUAAGGAACUGGUAAAUGAUAGCACCGGGAUUUCAACCUGGAGCCUGUGGUUCUAACCACUUUGCUUAGAGUGGUCCUGGGUGUAGGUUUGUUUGGGAAGCCCUGGUUGUGUAAUAUUGUCUCAAAAUAAUUGUUAAUAGUAACAAUAACACCUGCUUUCAGUGUUAAAAUGGCCACAACUUAUAUGAUAAAUUAUAGGAUCACUUUAGUGAUUCUGCGCAGUCUAAACCCUGUAAGAUAAAAUUCAAGAGAAAUCACUAUAGAGCUCCAUACAUCAAAUGUUCAAUUAUGGAAAAUCCAAUGGAGGGGGUUUGUUUUCUCUAAGAUUACAUAGAGCUAAAAGUAUGAUAAGACUGUAAAAAUGGCACUGGAAAUUUACAUAUCGUCAUUAACAGGUGUGGUGAGCCCAGAACCAGGUACAGGAUGGUUCUGUUGUGCUUGGUGCCAGACAGGCUACAUCUAGACUGUUGGUAUCCUUUCAAGGAACCGUAUUUU
rnacentral:lncRNA from 13 species